AACGAACGCUGGCGGCAUGCCUAACACAUGCAAGUCGAACGAGACCUUCGGGUCUAGUGGCGCACGGGUGCGUAACGCGUGGGAACCUGCCCUUAGGUUCGGAAUAACUCCCCGAAAGGGGUGCUAAUACCGGAUAAUGUCUUCGGACCAAAGAUUUAUCGCCUUUGGAUGGGCCCGCGUUGGAUUAGCUAGUUGGUAGGGUAAAAGCCUACCAAGGCGACGAUCCAUAGCUGGUCUGAGAGGAUGAUCAUCCACACUGGGACUGAGACACGGCCCAGACUCCUACGGGGGGCAGCAGUGGGGAAUAUUGGACAAUGGGCGAAAGCCUGAUCCAGCAAUGCCGCGUGAGUGAUGAAGGCCUUAGGGUUGUAAAGCUCUUUUACCCGGGAUGAUAAUGACAGUACCGGGAGAAUAAGCGCCGGCUAACUACGUG
rnacentral:rRNA from 1 species